rnacentral:lncRNA from 10 species
UUCAGUUUGUCAAGGAUGUCUGUUCUGUAAGUCAAGGGAAUUUUCUGAAUGAAUAUUCAACUGAAAAUAUUUAAAUAGAAAAGAAGAUGAGUAUGCUGUGUGUGUAUGUACGAGGAGAUGCACUAAUAGAACACAGAUGAUUUGGUGUUCAGAGAGACUCAAAGGGAGUACAAGAGUGACACGAAGUAACAAGUAAAGAACAAUAUGAGAAGAGAGACCACUGAAGAAUGAAAAAACUUUGUAUUUUAUCUUUUUAACAGCACAUUUUUUUCAUGCUAUUUGAACAAGGGGCUGCACAUGAUAAUUUUGCCCUGGGC